AUUGAACGCUGGCGGCAGGCCUAACACAUGCAAGUCGGACGGUAGCACAGAGAGCUUGCUCUUGGGUGACGAGUGGCGGACGGGUGAGUAAUGUCUGAGGAUCUGCCCGAUAGAGGGGGAUAACCACUGGAAACGGUGGCUAAUACCGCAUAACGUCGCAAGACCAAAGAGGGGGACCUUCGGGCCUCUCACUAUCGGAUGAACCCAGAUGGGAUUAGCUAGUAGGCGGGGUAAUGGCCCACCUAGGCGACGAGCCCUAGCUGGUCUGAAAGGAUGACCAGCCACACUGGAACUGAGACACGGUCCAGACUCCUACGGGAGGCAGCAGUGGGGAAUACUGCACAAUGGGCGCAAGCCUGAUGCAGCCAUGCCGCGUGUAUGAAGAAGGCCUUCGGGUUGUAAAGUACUUUCAGCGGGGAGGAAGGCGGUGAGGUUAAUAACCUUGCCGAUUGACGUUACCCGCAGAAGAAGCACCGGCUAACUCCGUGCCAGCCGCCGCGGUAA
rnacentral:rRNA from 1 species